rnacentral:tRNA from 1 species
GCGUCUGUGGCUCAACUGGAUAGAGCAUCGGGUUUCGGCCCCGGCGGUUACAGGUUCGACUCCUGUCAGGCGUA